GACGAACGCUGGCGGCGUGCUUAACACAUGCAAGUCGAACGGAAAGGCCCUGCUUUUGUGGGGUGCUCGAGUGGCGAACGGGUGAGUAACACGUGAGUAACCUGCCCUUGACUUUGGGAUAACUUCAGGAAACUGGGGCUAAUACCGGAUAGGAGCUCCUGCUGCAUGGUGGGGGUUGGAAAGUUUCGGCGGUUGGGGAUGGACUCGCGGCUUAUCAGCUUGUUGGUGGGGUAGUGGCUUACCAAGGCUUUGAGGGGUAGCCGGCCUGAGAGGGUGACCGGCAACAUGGGGACUGAGACAGGCCCGAGCCCCCUAGGGGGGGAAGGGGGGGGAAAUUUGGCACAAGGGGGGGAGGCUGGAGGCAGCAGCGCCGCGGGCGGGAUGAGGGCCUUCGGGUGGAAAACCGCUUUCGCCUGUGAAGAAGCGGGGGGGAGGGAAAUGUGUAAAGAAGCCCCGGCAAACUACGGG
rnacentral:rRNA from 1 species